GACCAUGCUCAUCUGGUGCAGAUGCGUCUCCUUUAAAGUCUGUUGUUGGCAAAUAUGUCACCUAAGACAUAGUUCAUUAGGGCCCACGCAGAUGCUUCUCCUUUAAAGUCUGUUGUUGGCAAAUAUGUCACCUAAGACAUAGUUCAUUAGGGCCCACGCAGCCCCUUUGCAUAGCUAAUGGAUAUCUGAAAUGAUGUUCUAUGAAGUUUGUUCUUUUUUUUUUUAAUUGAGGAAUUUAUUCUUAUUAUGGUGACAUUGGUUAACAAAAUCCAAUCAGUUUCAAGUGCACAGUUCAACAGUAAGUUGUACUUGUGUUGCGUUGUACAUUUGCUGCCCAUAAUUUAGUGUUCUUUUGUCACCAUGUAUUUGACGCCUGAAGUUUGUUCCUAAUUUAUUGUAAACUGCUUUUUUAAAGGUUUUUAGUAGGCUGCCUGGGACGUGGGUUUUAAUCCUGAUCUGUCCCUAGAAAAUGAAGAUUAAAUGGGACGAUAGAGGCAAAUCACAGCUGAGUGCCUUGAUUCAUAGUAGCCUGUUCUCCUUCAUCAUAUAGAGCUUGACAAAUGUCAGUUAGUCUCUCUUGUUUUUACCCUUAUUGUACUUGCUCGAAUUCUCUUUCAACUAUAAAGAGCUGUUGACGUUAUGAAAGUGUUAGUAUUAUGUAGCAUAGAAGAGAAGAGGCUGGUGUGGGAGUUAAGUAUUUUCUGUCUCAUGUUAUAGUGGGCCUUUGUUUUGGGGGCUUUCUGAAGGCAGAGUGAGUGAGAGCCUCAGCAGAAGGGGUUUCUAAAUAAUGAUGAUUAAAAGAUCAUAUUGUUUCUUAACCCAGGAUAAGUUCUGGACUUUUCUCCCUUGACAUGCUUUUGUAAGAGGGCUGAUGUAUCUUCAUUGGCCUGAGUAGCAGCAAGGACGCUCUUAACGUGAAUAUUUUCUGUAUCAUUCUGAACUUUUGAGUAGAAUGUAUGGUAUAAGAAUCUGGACUUUGAAGGAUUAAUGUAAACUUCUAAAUACAUUCAUGCAACAUGAGAUCUUUUAUUGGCAACAAAUAAAAAUACUACAGUGUCUAAUUUGCAGUAUAUUGGGUAAGUUUAGGAACAAAAGCUUCAGAACUGUGACAAGUAUAUAAUGAGCAUGUUCACUUUUCCGUCUAGGUUAGUAUCGUACAGUAGAACUUUAUGCAGUGACAGACACUUCGCUCUGCGUUGUCCAGUAUGGCAGUAUUAGCCACAUGGCUGUUGAACACAACUGUGGCUCGUGUGACUGAGGAAUUGAAUUUUCAAUAUUAUAUAAUUUCUAAAAAAUUGAAAUAGCUCCAUGUACUCAGUGGGCGGGGCAUGUCUAGGUUUCUUGCCACCGAUUUUUCCCCCCACCAGGCUUUGUGUUAUUACCCAGGUGAAACAAGGGGACUUCUCAAAGCUUUAACACUGGAGAACCAAGUUGGUAGCAAAGAGGUAUUCUGCAAAAAAAAAAAAAAAAAGAAUCUCCUGCAGACAAAGCUGGAUUAGUAAGGCAGUUCUUAUAU